rnacentral:tRNA from 1 species
GGAGAGGUGUCCGAGUGGUCGAUGGUGCAACCUUGGAAAGGUUGUGUGGGCUUUCAGUCCACCGGGGGUUCGAAUCCCCCCCUCUCCGCCA